GGAUUGAACGCUGGCGGCAGGCCUAACACAUGCAAGUCGAGCGGUAGAGAGGUGCUUGCAUCUCUUGAGAGCGGCGGACGGGUGAGUAAUGCCUAGGAAUCUGCCUAGUGGUGGGGGAUAACGUUCGGAAACGGACGCUAAUACCGCAUACGUCCUACGGGAGAAAGCGGGGGACCUUCGGGCCUCGCGCCAUUAGAUGAGCCUAGGUCGGAUUAGCUAGUUGGUGAGGUAAUGGCUCACCAAGGCGACGAUCCGUAACUGGUCUGAGAGGAUGAUCAGUCACACUGGAACUGAGACACGGUCCAGACUCCUACGGGAGCAGCAGUGGGAAUAUUGGACAAUGGGCGAAAGCCUGAUCCAGCCAUGCCGCGUGUGUGAAGAAGGUCUUCGGAUUGUAAACUGCUUUUGUACGGAACGAAACGGUCUGGUUAAUACCUCGGCUAAUGACGGUACCGUAAGAAUAAGCACCGGCUAACUACGUGCCAGCAGCCG
rnacentral:rRNA from 1 species